rnacentral:rRNA from 1 species
AUUGAACGCUGGCGGCAUGCCUUACACAUGCAAGUCGAACGGCAGCACGGGUGCUUCCACCUGGUGGCGGGGGGCGCACGGGUGCGUAAUACAUCUAAAACUGUCCUGACGUGGGCGAUAGCCCUGCGAAAGCCGGAUUAAUACUGCCUACGCUCCACGGAUGCAAGCGGGGGACGUUCGUGCUUGGAGCUGUCGCGCUGGCCGAUGGCUGAGUAGCUGGUUGGUGGGGUAAUGGCCUACCAAUGCGACGAUCACUAGCGGGUCUGAGAGGGCGAGCAUCCACACUGGGACUGAGACACGGCCCAGACUCCUACGGGAGGCAGCAGUGGGGAAUUGUGGACAAUGGGCGAAAGCCUGAUCCAGCAAUGCCGCGGGGGUGAAGAAGGCCUUCGGGUUGGAAAGCACUUUUGUUCGGAAAGAAAACCAGGACUCUAAUACAGUCGGGUGAUGACGGUACCGGAAGAAUAAGCACCGGCUAACUACGUG